CCCCCACACUGGCACUGAGAUACGGGCCAGACUUCUACGGAAGGCAGCAGUCGGGGAUAUUGCACAAUCGGCGAAAGCCGUGAUGCAGCGACGCCGCGUGGGCGAUGAAUGCCUUCGGGUUGUAAAGCCCUUAUAUGGGGGAAGAGACAAGGACGGUACCCCAAGAAUAAGCGUCGGCUAACUACGUGCCAGCAGCCGCGGUAAAACGUAGGACGCAAGCGUUAUCCGGAUUUACUGGGCGUAAAUAGCGUUGAGGCGGUUCCGUAAGUUGGUCGUGAAAGCCCCGGGCUUAACCCGGGGAGGUCGUUCAAUACUGCUGGACUUGAUGGCAGCAGAGGGAGGCGGAAUACCCGGUGUAGCGGUGAAAUGCGUAGAUAUCGGGAGGAACACCAGUGCCGAAGGCGGCCUCCUGGGCUGAUUCGGACGCUGAAGGCGAAAGCUAGGCGAGCGAACGGGAUUAGAAACCCCGGUAGUCCUAGCCGUAAACGAUGGAUCCUGGGUAUGGGGGGUAUAGAUCCCCUCUGUGCCGAAGCUAACGCGUUAAGCAUCCCGCCUGGGGAUUACGGCCGCAAGGCUUAAACUCAAACGAAUUGACGGGGGCCCGCACAAGCAGCGGAGCGUGUGGUUUAAUUCGAUGCUACACGAAGAACCUUACCUGGGCUUGACAUGUAGGUAGUAGUGAAGCGUAAGCGGAACGACCCUUCGGGGAGCCUACACAGGUGCUGCAUGGCUGUCGUCAGUUCGUGCCGUGAGGUGUCGGGUUAAGUCCCGUAACGAACGCAACCCUUGCCCUUAGUUACAUGUGUCUAAGGGGACUGCCCGGGACAACUGGGAGGAAGCUGGGGAUGACGUCGAGUCAGCAUGGCCUUUAUGUCCAGGGCUACACACACGCUACAAUGGCCGGUACAAUGGGUCGCCAAGCCGUGAGUCGGAGCCAAUCCCCCAAAGCCGGUCUAAGUUCGGAUUGUGGGCUGCAACUCGCCCAUAUGAAGCUGGAGUUGCUAGUAACCGCGCGUCAGCAAUAGUACGGUGUAUACGUUCCCGGG
rnacentral:rRNA from 1 species